UACGGGGGGGGCAAGCGUUGUUCGGAAUUACUGGGCGUAAAGGGCUCGUAGGCGGCCAACUAAGUCGGAUGUGAAAUCCCCAGGCUUAACCUGGGAACUGCAUCCGAUACUGGAUGGCUUGAAUCCGGGAGAGGGAUGCAGAAUUCCAGGUGUAGCGGUGAAAUGCGUAGAUAUCUGGAGGAAUACCGGUGGCGAAGGCGGCAUCCUGGACCGGCAUUGACGCUGAUGAGCGAAAGCUAGGGGAGCAAACGGGG
rnacentral:rRNA from 1 species